CCGUGCUAGGUGGGGAGCCAGCGGUGCCCUGUACCUGCAAUCCGCUACAGCAGGACCGAAUGCCGUUCUCGGCGUAAAAUGUGGGAGGCAAGUUGUAAGUAAGUGGCGUUGACCUCAGGGUCUUGUGCAACGCUUUACCGUGAACCGUGUCAGGGCUUGACGGCAGCAGCACUAAGCGGAGCUUUGCGUGUGCCACAAGUCAGCUUUGAGCGAGUCAACUGCUUGCGAGACUCUUCGGCAUUUUGCGUCAAAAACGGAUGCAC
rnacentral:SRP_RNA from 2 species